UCAUAGUUUUCCACGGCUUUCUUGAACUUACUUCACGAUCCGGUGUGUUGGCUGCCGAUCGCAUCGAUAACAGAUCCGGGUGACAAGAUCAAGAAAGCCGUGGGAAAUUAUAGAGG
rnacentral:pre_miRNA from 1 species